rnacentral:lncRNA from 1 species
GUUUUCCUUGGCUUUAUCCUGUGCUUAAUCACCUUACUAGAAUUUUCUGUCCACUUGAUUGUUGACUCUCCAGAGAGACAUUGAUCUAUGUGAGCGUUCAAGGUGGUGUUUGAUGAGGAUGUGAAAGUCUUGCAAACUGGACAUACUUUCGAAGCCAUUGCCUCAGAAGCCAUGAAAUUGCUGCUGGUGGUAGUUUCCUCUUCUACGGAUUGAGGAUGUGAAAGUCUUGCAAACUGGACAUACUUUCGAAGCCAUUGCCUCAGAAGCCAUGAAAUUGUUGCUGGUGGUAGUUUCCUCUUCUACGGUUCGAUGAUCUGUAACGUUUCCCAACUUGACUAUUAAUCUGCA